AUGAGGAUGGCCGCUGUCGCCGCCGCAGAAAACAAACCAAACGAUGCAGCAAAACCAAUUACUGGUUCCAGCUAUGGAUUUGCUGGUUGUAGCAAAACGCAACAGAGGUUGCAACUUUGCUCUAUGGGCUGUAGGGAAAAAGUGCCGGCGUGGUCUUCUUUUCCAGCACCGGCGACCACGGAUAGUAUUAAAAACGCGCGGCCGGUUGCAGCUCCGGCGCUCGCCGAGCCCUGUACAGAGAGGUGGAGAUGCAUACAAGCGCGUUUGUCUAAGACAAACAGCGACGAGUGGCGCGGCCGCUAA
rnacentral:rRNA from 1 species